UUGUCCCUACGGGACGCAGCAGUGGGGAAUAUUGGGCAAUGGGCGCAAGCCUGACCCAACAACGCCGCGUGAAGGAAGAAGGCUUUCGGGUUGUAAACUUCUUUUCUCAGGGACGAAGAAAGUGACGGUACCUGAGGAAUAAGCCACGGCUAACUACGUGCCAGCAGCCGCGGUAAUACGUAGGUGGCAAGCGUUAUCCGGAUUUAUUGGGUGUAAAGGGCGUGUAGGCGGGAGCGCAAGUCAGAUGUGAAAACUCAGGGCUCAACCCUUAGCCUGCAUUUGAAACUGUGUUUCUU
rnacentral:rRNA from 1 species